rnacentral:rRNA from 1 species
CAAUAGCGUAUAUUAAAGUUGUUGCAGUUAAAAAGCUCGUAGUUGGAUUUGUGGUUGGAGCGACCGGCCUGUCACUUUGUGUCAGUGCUUGUGUCGUCUCCGUCCAUCCUUGGGUGGAAUCUGUGUGGCAUUCAGUUGUCGUGCAGGGGAUACCCAUCUUUUACUGUGAAAAAAUUAGAGUGUUCAAAGCAGGCUUACGCCGUUGAAUAUAUUAGCAUGGAAUAAUAAGAUAGGACCUGGGUACUAUUUUGUUGGUUUGCGCACCCUGGUAAUGAUUAAUAGGGACAGUUGGGGGUAUUCGUAUUCCAUUGUCAGAGGUGAAAUUCUUGGAUUUCUGGAAGACGAACUACUGCGAAAGCAUUUACCAAGGAUGUUUUCAUUAA